ensembl:snRNA U1 U1 spliceosomal RNA
AUACUUACCUGGAAGGAGAGAUAGCAUAAUCAUAAAGGUUGUUUCCCCAGAGUGAGGCUUCUAAAUUGCAUUCCAAGUGUGCUGACACCUGAAAUUUCCCCAGUUGUGGAAAAUUUGACUGCAGAGUAUGUGGGAGUGAGGACUGUGUUCACAUCCUUCCA